UUUAGAAGACCUUUUUGGGAGGAAACGUGCUUAUCUACAAAACAAGAAUAGUGAAACAGAGGACGAGGAGGAUGGAGAUGAGGAUGAUGAAGAUGGACCUGACGAGGAUGAGGAUGGAGAUGACGAAGAAUUCUCAGGUGAAGAAGGCGAUGAAGGAGGGGACCCUGAAGAUGAGGCUAAUGGUGAAGGAAGUGAUGAUGGGGAUGAGGAUGAUGAUGGCGAUGACAACGGCGACGAGGAAGAUGAUGAUGACGGAGAAGAUGAAGAGGAGGAUGAGGAGGAAGAUGAAGAGGAG
rnacentral:lncRNA from 1 species